rnacentral:rRNA from 1 species
UAGGGAAUCUUCCGCAAUGGACGCAAGUCUGACGGAGCAACGCCGCGUGAGUGAAGAAGGAUUUCGGUUCGUAAAACUCUGUUGUUAGAGAAGAACAGCGCAUAGAGUAACUGUUAUGCGUGUGACGGUAUCUAACCAGAAAGCCACGGCUAACUACGUGCCAGCAGCCGCGGUAAUACGUAGGUGGCAAGCGUUGUCCGGAUUUAUUGGGCGUAAAGCGAGCGCAGGCGGUCAAUUAAGUCUGAUGUGAAAGCCCCCGGCUCAACCGGGGAGGGUCAUUGGAAACUGGUUGACUUGAGUGCAGAAGAGGAGAGUGGAAUUCCAUGUGUAGCGGUGAUAUGCGUAGAUAUAUGGAGGAACACCAGUGGCGAAGGCGACUCUCUGGUCUGUAACUGACGCUGAGGCUCGAAAGCGUGGGUAGCAAACAGG